UACGAAGGGGGCUAGCGUUGCUCGGAAUCACUGGGCGUAAAGGGUGCGUAGGCGGGUCUUUAAGUCAGGGGUGAAAUCCUGGAGCUCAACUCCAGAACUGCCUUUGAUACUGAAGAUCUUGAGUUCGGGAGAGGUGAGUGGAACUGCGAGUGUAGAGGUGAAAUUCGUAGAUAUUCGCAAGAACACCAGUGGCGAAAGGCGGCUCACUGGCCCGAUACUGACGCUGAUGCACGAAAGCGUGGGGAGCAAACAGG
rnacentral:rRNA from 1 species